rnacentral:rRNA from 1 species
UACGGAGGAUCCAAGCGUUAUCCGGAUUUAUUGGGUUUAAAGGGUGCGUAGGCGGUUUUGUAAGUUAGAGGUGAAAUUUCCGGGCUCAACCCGGAGACUGCCUCUGAUACUGCGAGACUAGAGAGUAGUUGCUGUUGGCGGAAUGUGUGGUGUAGCGGUGAAAUGCUUAGAUAUCACACAGAACACCGAUUGCGAAGGCAGCUGACAAAGCUAUAUCUGACGCUGAGGCACGAAAGCGUGGGGAGCAAACAGG